ACAAAGAUUCGUGCUAUAUUCAAGAAGCGAAUAAAUUGAAUUGGUAGAUACAGAGAAGAAAUGGAAAACGAACAAUAGUAUAAUUCUGAUGAACCCUUACACAUGUUCUUGUGGAGAUACCAGGACAGUACAGUAUAAUUUACCCCAUCAUAAGUAAUUCCUGUUGUCCCUCCUCUACCAAGCAUAUGUGCUGCCUUAGCAUUUAUCCUAAACUAUUGCUUGGCAGGUUCAGGCUUUCCCAAGCUUAAAACGAUUGGUAAACUUACACAACAGUUACAUAUCAACGCGGACUUGGUAUCCUGUAUGCAAAAACAGUGAAACGUUUGAGCUAGUAAACAACUUCCAACAAACAACAUAACCUCUCUGGUUGAAUAGGAGCACAAAUUAACAUUUUUCUCAAUAUAAAGUUACACAUCGAUAAACAAAAAAUCAAACACCAUUUCAGUGAAACAAACAUGUCCAAGAUGGAGAGUGUCUUUUUUCUAGCUAAAAAUGAGAAACUUGCAUAGGCAAUGUCAACACCUGGUACGAUGUGGCACAUUUCGCAUGCAUGGGAGAUGGAAGCAGAAGCAGAGUACCUACGAGAAACCUGCCUAGUUCAUCUUAAAAAGAUUGUGACUUAUGGCGGCGAUAAAUCAUUUUGCCUGAACGAUAUAAUGGUGUUAUCCUUUCAUUCAGGAUACACAAACUAUAUCUCUGUUCACUUUGAUAGAGUAAAGGUCAAUACAUACAUACUUAGAACAUUAAUAUGCAUUCAAACAAUUUGUCAAACACUUGGAGAACGACCAAAGUAACCACAACUCACAUUUCAUAAAUUUGAACUGACCAUGCAAAACAUUACGUACUGUAUAUUGAAUAACCAAAACAUGGUAAAGUGAAAGAAUACUUACAAUUUGUCAUUCUACAAAUUGAGAGCUCAUCAAUUGAGCUGGGUUUUGCUAAAGAUUUAACAAUUUGUCAACUUCCUCCCCCCCCCCCCCCCCCAAUUUGCAGAAAACAUAAACCAUUGAUCAGAUUUUGCCAUUUUGGGUUGUUUUGAGGAUGAAGAAAUAGGGAACAUAUACAAACAAUGCAUAGCUUUGUUAAUCAUCUCUUAAUGUCCACAGAUGAACAGAUGAUUCACAGCUUUGUUAUUCUUAAUGAAUUUUAGAUAAUAUUGGUGAAACUCGCAAUCUAAAUGAUUAAAUAAACAAAUGGUUUUAGCAUUUAAGGUAGAUGAAACUACUAGCAUAAGAAACAAGAUCAAGUUUUCGAGGAAAUAACAUAAACCCUAAAAAGGUAGGUUGUCCAACUCAAUAGAGAACUCUUUCUCUCUUUCAUCUCCAUCUAUUGCUAACUUGAGCUUUGGAGUGACAUCCACCGAUCGAAGACCCGAAAGGAGCGGAAGAUUGAUAGCGACAAUCUCACAGUGUUAGCUUUAUAGGAGUUUACAUUUGGCGCUAGAAGGAGGGUUGUGACACUUCUCUAGAUCUACGGAACUUGGUGAACCAAUUCUGUUAAAAAUGUUAUCUGUAAUGUCCAAGUCCAGAAAAGCCCAGUCCAUAGAAGUGUCCAGAAGCAUAAAGAAUUAUCUAGCAUAUAAUAGUUAGUAGUUAAUAGAGAAAUCUAGAAUGUAUGAGAACAAUUAAAGUCGGUUAUAAUGUCCUAUAAAUAGGGAGGUGAACAUGUUGUUUGAUGAAUCAAUCAAGAGAAAAGAAGUUCUCUAGUACUAGAAGUCCCCUUUUGUAAUAAAAACAAAGUUUCUUUUAUAAACUUGUUAUUUUGUCAUAUUCUUCUUUUUGACUCUCAUAUACCCACUAACACUUCCAUUGUUUUAACAAAUUGGUAUCAGAGCUUGUUUUUUCUUUGGUCCCCCCAUACCACUUUCCAUCAUCUACACCUUAAACCACUAUAUUCCCAUUAUUUACACUUAAACCAUGGCCAUAAAUCAAACCCCACAUACAUUCAAUUAUACCCAAAAUCUAAUACCCAUAUUUGAUGGUGAUAGUUAUGAUUAUUGGAGUUUACAAAUGAAAACUCUAUUCAUGUCUCAAGAUUUAUGGGAAUUAAUUGAAGAUGGCUAUGAUGUACCGGAGUCGACGGCAGAAUUACAAACAUGGGAUCAAAGCAAGCAAAAGGAGUACAAGGAGAAGAAAAAGAGAGAUGCCAAAGCAUUAUUGUUCAUCCAACAAGGGGUAAGCAAAUCAAUUUUUCCAAGAAUUCUUGGCGCUUCAAAUUCUAAGGAUGCAUGGGAAAUUCUUAAGAAAGAAUUUCAAGGAACCCAAAAGAUAAUUUCUAUCAAACUCCAAUAUUUAUGGCGAGAAUUUGAUAAUUUUUUCAUGAAAGAUAAUGAGAAAGUUCAAGUAUUCUACAAUAGGGUCUCCAACGUUAUCAACCAAAUUAAAAGUUAUGGAGAAACUAUUGAAGAUAAGAAAGUUAUUGAGAAAAUUUUGCGAAGUUUACCCGCAAAAUUUGAUCAUAUUGUCGCCGCCAUAGAAGAAUCAAAAGAUUUGUCAAAAUUAUCAUUAUAUGAGCUAAUGGGUUCUCUUGAGGCGCAUGAAGAAAGGAUGAGCAGUAGGUCAGCUGAAAAAUCAUUGGAGCAGGCAUUUCAGUCCAAGGUGACUUUUGGGGACAAGAAAGAAAAUUCAAGAAGCUUCCAGAAUCCCAGAGAAUUUAGCCGAGGAGAAAGCUCAAACUGGGGACGUGAAGGAAAAUUCAGCAACAACAACCGAAGGUAUGACAAAAAUCCUUCUUCAAAACCUUAUUGCAAUGUUUGCAAAAAACCCGGUCAUAAAAGUGAAAACUGCAGAUAUAAAUGCACCACGUGUAAAAAGUUAAAUCACGUGGAUAAAGAUUGUUGGCUCAAGAAGAAAAAUCAAGCCAACUACAUGGAGAAAAAUGAAUCUCCAGACCAAGUAUUUUAUUCUUGCUAUAAUGCAAUGCAAGAACCUAAAGAUAUUUGGUAUUUAGACAGUGGCUGCAGUAAUCACAUGACCGGAGAUAAGAAAGGUUUUAUAAGUCUAGAUGAAGACGUAGAUUCUAAAGUUAAGCUAGGAGAUGGUAAACUUCAGAAAAUAGAAGGAAAAUGAAUAGUUACAGUAAAAACUGGAGAAGGAGCAUCUAAAAAUAUGCAUGAUGUUCUGUAUGUCCCCGGUCUUGCUCAAAACUUACUAAGUGUUGGGCAACUUAUCCAGAAAGGGUAUAUUGUGCAUUUUGAAGAUAAUGAAUGCACAAUUUACGAUAAAAGAAAGAAGCAGGUGGUUGCCAAAGUACAGAUGACAGAAAAUAAGGUUUUUCCAUUGGUGAUGUCAUCGGUACAAAAUUAUGCCAUGAAAAGAACUGCAGUUGAUGAAACUGAAUUAUGGCAUUUACGAUUUGGGCAUUUGAAUUAUAGAGCCUUAAGGGUUCUAAAGUCCAAAAAUAUGGUGAUUGGGCUACCUAGUAUUGGUGGAGAAGUUAGAGUUUGUGAAGGCUGCAUUUUUGGGAAAUUUCAUAGAUUUCCCUUUGCUAAGUCAUCAUGGAGAGCCAGGAAGUCUUUAGAAUUGGUUCACGCUGACAUAUGCGGACCAGUUCGAACACCGUCAUUAAACAACAAAAGAUAUUUUCUUUUGUUUGUUGAUGAUUACAGCAGGAUGAUGUGGGUGUACUUCCUAGAACAAAAAUCGGAAGCAUUCACCAUAUUCUUGAAGUUCAAGGCGCUCGUUGAAAAACAAAGUGGGCAUUCCUUAAAGGUGUUACGCACUGAUCGAGGAGCAGAAUUCACAUCUAAGGAGUUCAACAAAUAUUGUCAAGAUCAAGGAAUCAAGAAGGAGCUGACAGUCCGAUACACUCCUCAACAAAAUGGCGUGGCAGAGAGGAGGAACAGGACGAUCGUGGAGAUGGCUCGGAGCAUGCUGAAGGGAAAAGGCUUACCAAACAAACUAUGGGCUGAAGCUGUCAACACCGCGGUCUACAUUCUCAACCGUUCGCCAACUAAAGUAGUGCGAGACAGGACGCCGUAUGAAGCAUGGCAUCAUCAAAAGCCCACGGUAACUUCUCUCAAAGUCUUUGGAUGCAUCGCAUAUUCUCAUAUUCCAUCAAAACACAGAGAAAAGUUUGAUGAGAAGGGAGAAAAGCUCAUCUUCAUCGGGUAUAGCGAAGAAUCCAAAGCUUACAGGCUACGUAAUCCCAGGACCAAUGAGUUAGUAAUCUCCAGAGAUGUCAUCUUUGAUGAGCAUAAUGCAUGGAGUUGGGAUGAUGGAAACAACACUAAUGUCGAGGCGCCACUAAUACUUGAAGAAGAAGAAUCAACCCAAGAACAACCAGGUCCAGAACCUGAACCAGUUACUCCGCCAACAUGCCCAAGAAGUCCAUCUUCAUCAGGGUCAAGCUCUCCCCCAAGAAAGGUACGUCCUUUACAAGAUAUUUACAACUCAUGCGGUCCAGUUGCUUUUCUUGCUUGUGAACCACAAAAGUAUGAAGAAGCAGCAACUGAAGAAAAAUGGAGAAAAGCUAUGGAUGAAGAAAUGAAAGUCAUCCAUAAAAAUGAAACAUGGGAGCUGGUUGAAAAGCCCAAAGAGAAAGAAGUUAUUGGGCUGAAAUGGGUCUAUAAGACCAAGUAUAAUGAAGAUGGCUCUAUCCAGAAGCAUAAGGCUCGGCUUGUUGCAAAAGGUUAUUCCCAACAACAAGAGCAAGAAGGUCCUACUACUAUAUAUUGCGACAAUAUGUCUGCAAUAGCUAUGACCAGGAAUCCAGUGUUCCAUAGCAGGUUAAAGCACAUUGAGUUGCGUCACCACUUCAUCAGAGACUUGGUUGAAAGUGAAGAGAUCGAGCUACAAUUCUGCAGGACUGAAGAUCAAUGUGCCGACAUAUUUACCAAGCCACUUGGAGGUGAAAAUUUUCAUCACUUUAGGAGGAGCAUGAACAUUACAGAUUAAGUGGGGGUGUUAAAAAUGUAAUCUGUAAUGUCCAAGUCCAGAAAAGCCCAGUCCAUAGAAGUGUCCAGAAGCAUAAAGAAUUAUCUAGUCCAUAGAAGUGUCUAGAAGCAUAAAGAAUUAUCUAGUCCAUAGAAGUGUCCAGAAGUAUAAAGAAUUAUCUAGCAUAUAAUAGUUAGUAGUUAAUAGAGAAAUCUAGAAUGUAUGAGAACAAUUAAAGUCGGUUAUAAUGUCCUAUAAAUAGGGAGGUGAACAUGUUGUUUGAUGAAUCAAUCAAGAGAAAAGAAGUUCUCUAGUACUAGAAGUCCCCUUUUGUAAUAAAAACAAAGUUUCUUUUAUAAACUUGUUAUUUUGUCAUAUUCUUCUUCUUGACUCUUAUAUACCCACUAACACUUCCAUUGUUUUAACAAAUUCUGCUAUUAAUUCAGUUUAAAAAUGGAAAAAAUAAAAAAACAAGCAGAGAAACAAAGUCCUCUUCACCAUCGUCACGCCAACCAGAAUACUUUCUUCUCCAAGGCUAGAUCUGCAACAUCAUUUCAUCUCUUGGUAUAAUCUUCGAAUUCAAGGCUUUGGUUGGUUUAUGAACUACAAUCUCCGAAUCGUUAACCUCGCCAUUCUUUAUUCUCAAGAAGAACAACAAAGUUACCAACUUUCAUUAUUUUGUCAAGUUGAUCAAGGGACAACAGAUGCAACUAGUUAAACCACACUUGGACAAUUCAUCUCCAUUGGUUUUCUCAUAAUAUUCAUGCUCACCAACAAAAUAAACCAUAGAUUCCCAAAUGGCAAAAAUCCCACAAUCCAAAUUCUAAUUUCUCAAAUCAUAUCCAAUAAAUGUCCUGAAUCUAUUAAGAUAUUUUGGAUGCAUAAAAAACUCAAAAAUUACUUCUCCCAUGUUUAGUCGCAACAAAAUAUCACAAGACAAUGUAACAUUACAUGAAUAUUUGUAAUAAUCUUUAUACUAACAUUUCGACAAACACUUGGACUGCAGAAAAUCUCACAUUUUCAUAACUUUCAAUCACACAAAAAUCACUAAAUGAACUAUAAAAAUAAUGGUUUAAAGCAUAAGAAACAUCAUAACAAGUGUAACAAGGUGCAAUUUCAUCACCAAUAUGGAGAGAGGAAGGAGAGUACUAUCUGUACAACCCAGAUCUUUACAUAAAAUUUAAUAAUUUCUGAUUCCACCCAAUCCCAUCAUUUCCACUCCGUUAUAUCUAUGUAAACCACGCUUGAGUUUUAAGAUAUUCCCCACAAUGAUGCUGCACAUUUGACAGAUACACCUUAACUUCAUCUCUCGCAAAAUCGCACGCUGCAGGCUGCAGGAGUAAUGGGAUCUGCAACUGCCCUCAACACCGUUGUUUAUAUUUAGAUAAGAUGUUAGUAUGUUACCGAAGAGAAUAAAAAGUUAUGAAAUUUUCCGAUACCACCCAAUCCCAAACAUUACCUUCAGUGGCGGCCCUGAGGGCAUGCCUAAGAAGCUCUUGAUUGGGGCCAACCAAUAAAUAAAAGAAAAA
rnacentral:lncRNA from 1 species